rnacentral:lncRNA from 1 species
AUUCGGGAUAAUGAGCGCCGGGCCGAGGGGGCGGGCCGAGCCUCGGCUGCUGGGACUCAGGGCUCAGCGGCGACCCCAAGGCACUCUGCGCUGCUGCUAAAGGGGCAGCAACGGCGGCCAGCGCUGUGCGCGCCAUAGCGAGGCUCGCUCGCCCGACGCGCACUCCGGGUCGGUCCCCAGAGCUCUGUGGAGGUGACUCGAGUGGGCAGGGCCGGGCGGCG